rnacentral:tRNA from 1 species
CAAGGCGUAGCUAUAAUACAGAGCAUUCAGCUUACACCUGAGAGAUAUCUACUCACAACAGAUCGCCUUGA